CUUCUCCCUCACAUUCUGGAAAGAGGAGGGACUUACCACACUGAAGCAGAGCAAGAAGACGUCAGCAUUGGUGUAGCACAGCGGCCGGAGCUUGUCAAACUCAUCCUGCCCAGAGUAAAAAAAAAAAAGAUUCAGUAGAGCAACUUCCAGGUCACGUGUCUCUGAAAUAUCAGAACGCGAUGUGAUGUCAGCGGCAUGGGAGAUAAAGUCUAGAGCACAAAUGACUGAUCCAAAUCUCUCUUGGCUUUCCUCCCUUCACUGUCUCCCCUUAGCUUGCUAAACUCAUCGAAAACACAAUGAUCUCACAUUUCCAGUGACUAACCCCAGCUGUACCCCGGCUGAAAGUAGGUCUCCCUUUCCCUCGGAUCAAGCCCAAUUCAUCACAAUUAGACUGCUUCCCAUUUGUGAUCCCCUAGAGCUGGUUUCUCCCCUCCCACAAAGGAAGAAACACUGACUGACCUAUAAUAGCAUGCUCCCAUAGGAUGAAGUAUACACUUCCUUAUGAUGCCUGGACUGCAAACUUCAGCUGAACUUUACCAGAAACUCUUAUCAUGAGUAAGCAAAACAACACUGAAUCACUUUCUCUCUUAUCUUACAAACAGGCAACCAUAUGACUAAUUAGGACAUGACUCACGGGUCUGUUUACAGUUAAGAGACAAGGGCUUCGACCAGCAUGCGUUUGUGCAAAUAAUAUGUCAUCCUUAUACAGUGACAUGAUGAACUUGCACUGCCUUGAAUGUGUUUGUGUGAGGUGGUUUGUUUGGGUCUGGUGGUGCUGAGUGGGCUUAUUGG